UAAUUAUUUUAAAACAAUCUCCUUAUUAUUAAAAGGAAAGUACAAAUUAAAAAAUAGACAAAUUUGGCUUCAAUUUCAAUUUUAAUUUUGGAUUUUGUACAUAGACAUUAAAGGUAACUAGGAUUUAACCCGCGGUUUACCGCGGGCAAUCGGUUUAUUUAGUUCUUAUACUAAAUAUUGAAAUAAAUAAUAUAAAUUUUUUAAUCAAACAUAACUAAAUAAUAAUUAG
rnacentral:sRNA from 1 species